GGUGUCCUUCCCUCCUGCCUGUGGAUAUUGAUGCAGGCUUCCCAUUGACCAGACCGAACUGGAACUUCAACACCCCAGAAGGUUAAAAGGUCUACAGGUGGUGCGAAAAGAAGUGUGGUCCCAGUUGGCAGCUGCCUACGAACCUGGCACCCCUGAGGCAUCACAUGGCUCCAGGUUGGAGAUUUAGUCUACGUGAGGUGACAUCAUGCCCAGACACUUGAGCCCCGGUGGAAAGGACCCUACUUAGUACUGCUGACCACUCCAACAACUGUAAAAUUGGACAGAAUCACUGCCUGGAUACAUGCCUCACAUAUGAAGCCUGCCCCCUCAACAGAAACUGGAGUUCCAGAAGACCACCUUAUCUGAAAGGCCCAGACUACAGAGAACCCUCUGAAACUGAAAAUCACCAGGAAGCCUAAAGAUGGGAGUCCUCCCCCUGGUACUGUGUCUUAACAUCCUCCCCUUAUGUUUUACCAGCCCUGGUCCCCACCAGCCUUGUAACCUAACGUGGCAAGUAAUAAAUGGGGCAGGAGACACUAUUUGGAGCUUAUCCAAGGUCACCACUCCGUCUACCUGGUGGCCUGACUUUUCCCUGACAUCUGUAAGUUGGCUAUAGGAGCACCUCCUGGUUGGGACCUAGGAGGGUAUUCU
rnacentral:lncRNA from 1 species